UGGGGAAUUUUCCGCAAUGGGCGCAAGCCUGACGGAGCAAUACCGCGUGAGGGAGGAAGGCUUUUGGGUUGUAAACCUCUUUUGUUAAGGAAGAAGCAAGUGACGGUACUUAACGAAUCAGCAUCGGCUAACUCCGUGCCAGCAGCCGCGGUAAUACGGAGGAUGCAAGCGUUAUCCGGAAUUAUUGGGCGUAAAGCGUCCGCAGGCGGCCGUUCAAGUCUGCUGUCAAAGCCCGCAGCUCAACUGUGGAUGGGCAGUGGAAAGUGAAUGGCUAGUGCGUGGUAGGGGUAGAGGGAAUUCCUAGUGUAGCGGUGAAAUGCGUAGAUAUUAGGAAGAACACCAGUGGCGAAGGCGCUCUACUGGGCCACGACUGACGCUGAGGGACGAAAGCUAGGGGAGCGAAAGGGAUUAGAUACCCCCGUAGUCC
rnacentral:rRNA from 1 species